rnacentral:rRNA from 1 species
UACGGGGGGUGCAAGCGUUGUUCGGAAUUACUGGGCGUAAAGGGCGCGUAGGCGGUCCGCUAAGUUAGAUGUGAAAACUCUGGGCUCAACCCAGAGCCUGCAUCUAAUACUGACGGGCUAGAGUUCUGGAGGGGGUAGCGGAAUUCCUGGUGUAGCGGUGAAAUGCGUAGAUAUCAGGAGGAACACCGGUGGCGAAGGCGGCUACCUGGACAGAAACUGACGCUGAGGCGCGAAAGCUAGGGGAGCAAACAGG